UGAUAAAAAUAAAAUUGAAAGAUAGUCCUAGACAAGCCCGAUAAAAUCCUCACAAAACCUACAUCACACGACAACUUGAGGGCCCGCUGCUUGUGACCUCUGUUUUUCGCCACAGAGAGGGAGGUACCGGACGACGAACUCGACGCCGCUGCUUGUGAAAACCUGCUGGACGACGACGUAGAAAGCGACGCUUCCCACUCCAGGAAGCCGCUGCUUUGUGAAAACCUUCUUGCAGAAGAUCAAACAGACCUUCGUUGCAGAGAUUUUUCUACCCCUCUCGCCCUCUGAAAUCCCUGCUUCUCCUUGGCGAUCGCUGAGUUCGCUGCUCCCCUUCUACCCCUCUCGCCACCUGAAAUCGCCGCUCCCCUUCUCUCACCUCUGAGAUCGUUGCUCCUUUCGGAUCGUCCUCUGAGUUCGCUGCUCCUCUGUGAAUCGUUGUUCCCCUGUGUUCCAUUGUUGUCAUCACUCUCUCAGUGGUCGAACAUCACACCCCUAUGCAACUCGCCGCCCAUGUUCCAUCUACAAUCCCUCUAUUAUCCACUCUCACCCUAUCGCUCAACUGCACCGAACUCCAUCCACAAACGUGACGGAUUUUUCUGAUUUUUUAUUUUUCAUUUUCUCCAUUAACAAAUGUACUGCAAAAAAUAAUCUUUCAAGAGGGAAAAAAUAUGACUGUAACAAGUAAAAGCCGUUAGAUUGAAAUUAUUUCAAUUAAGUCUUGACACUCUCAGUUGACGAUUUGACCCUAUUGAAGAAGAAGAUCGACUCGAACGAUUUCUAAUAAAGGUCCCACAAAACUUUGAUGUGGAUUCAAUA